rnacentral:rRNA from 1 species
AGGGAAUCUUCCACAAUGGACGAAAGUCUGAUGGAGCAACGCCGCGUGAGUGAAGAAGGGUUUCGGCUCGUAAAACUCUGUUGUUAAAGAAGAACAUAUCUGAGAGUAACUGUUCAGGUAUUGACGGUAUUUAACCAGAAAGCCACGGCUAACUACGUGCCAGCAGCCGCGGUAAUACGUAGGUGGCAAGCGUUGUCCGGAUUUAUUGGGCGUAAAGCGAGCGCAGGCGGUUUUUUAAGUCUGAUGUGAAAGCCUUCGGCUCAACCGAAGAAGUGCAUCGGAAACUGGGAAACUUGAGUGCAGAAGAGGACAGUGGAACUCCAUGUGUAGCGGUGAAAUGCGUAGAUAUAUGGAAGAACACCAGUGGCGAAGGCGGCUGUCUGGUCUGUAACUGACGCUGAGGCUCGAAAGUAUGGGUAGCAAAC